rnacentral:rRNA from 1 species
AGACGUCUACAUUAGACUACCCCCGUAGUCCCAGCCGUAAACUAUGCGCGUUAGGUGUAUCGGUGACCACGAGUUACCGAGGUGCCGAAGGGAACCGUGAAACGUGCCGCCUGGGAAGUACGGUCGCAAGGCUGAAACUUAAAGGAAUUGGCGGGGGAGCACCACAACAGGUGGAGCCUGCGGUUUAAUUGGACUCAACGCCGGGAAGCUCACCGGAUAGGACAGCAGAAUGAUUGCCGGGCUGAAGACCCUGCAUGACUAGCUG